UCAUUACCGAGAGAGGGGCUUCGCGCUCCCGGGGGCCUCGGCCCCCACUCUUCACCCUGUGUGUACCUACCUUUGUUGCUUUGGCGGACCCCGGGGGUUCUCCUCCGCGUCGGCCUUCGGGUCGAUGAGCGUCCGUCAGGGGCUCAUUUACAUUCUGUUUAUCAGUUGUCGUCCGAGUAUAAAAUGAAUAAAUAAAAACUUUCAACAACGGAUCUCUUGGUUCCAGCAUCGAUGAAGAACGCAGCGAAAUGCGAUAAGUAAUGUGAAUUGCAGAAUUCAGUGAAUCAUCGAAUCUUUGAACGCACAUUGCGCCCCUCGGUAUUCCGGGGGGCAUGCCUGUUCGAGCGUCAUUACACCUCUCAAGCUUCGCUUGGUAUUGGGUCACUCGCCCCCGAGGCGUGCCCGAAAAGCAGUGGCGGUCCGGCGAGACUUUAAGCGUAGUAAAUUACCAUCCCGCUUUGAAAGUUCGCGGUGUGGCUCGCCAGACAACCGUCACAUAUUGUCUACCCACUAUGUGCCUUCAAUAUUUGACCUCGGAUCAGGUAGGGAUACCCGCGAACUAAGCA
rnacentral:rRNA from 1 species